rnacentral:misc_RNA from 1 species
GUGUUUCCGAGAGCGCGUCUUUCGAUGACAUACUCCGCGCCAAAAAAGCCAUUCUUGCAACGUGCAAGGAUGACCAGGACGCGAUUGCACAGGUUGAGACUGCAUAUGAUAUGUUGCUUAUGCGAAGCUUAACUCAACGUCGGUCUGGAAAAGUUGCAAAUAGUGGCAUCCGGUAUGCAGACGUCAAGCCCCUAAACAGCCCUGGGUUGGGAUCAGUACCUCAGUGGCUGCAGACAACUAUGAAAAAUGCACCCAUUUCAGUGGAGACACCAUCAGCUGGUGAUUUGGGAAUACAAGCAGGAGUUUAUGGAGCUAUGAUGGUUUUAACUUAUGUUAAUGGAGCUACAACAUCAUCUGUGGCAUCUUAUGCUGGGGCUGAUGUUCCUGGGUUGAUAUUAGCUACUAGUUUUGGGGCUUCCUUGUACUUUAUGACCAAAAGGAAUGUGAAGUUAGGGAAGGCCACCGUAAUAACUUUAGGAGGGCUUGUGGCUGGAGCUGUGGUGGGGUCAACAUUAGAGAAUUGGUUGCAGGUGGACAUUGUGCCAUUUCUUGGCAUACACUCCCCUGCUACUGUAGUUAGUGAAUUCAUUCUCUUCUCUCAAUUCUUGGUCUCCCUUUACCUAAGGUAAUAUUAAGAGGAGAUUGUAAUUUGUAAGUGAAACCUGUAAUUAUUCAUUUGCAUGAUCGUACCCGAGCUUUUUUUAUUAGGACGUGUAUCGUUGCAUGUUGUACAAAACUAAAAGUAGAAAGUAGUGAAACUUGAAUAAAUCUGAAAUCUGCUUGAGAAAUGCAAUCUCCUCUUAAUAUUACCUUAGGUAA